UCUGAAUUGGUGCAGUGGCCAACAUUUGAAGCUCUCAUCCCGCCUUCCUGUCUCCCUCAUCACCAGAGGUUGGGGAGGUACGAGUGCCGUCAAGCCCGGGGCUCGAUUUCCCGAUUCGGAG